rnacentral:rRNA from 1 species
ACUCCUACGGGAGGCAGCAGUAAGGAAUAUUGGACAAUGGUCGCAAGACUGAUCCAGCCAUGCCGCGUGCAGGAAGACGGCCCUACGGGUUGUAAACUGCUUUUGCACCAGAGAAAACCCUUCUACGUGUAGGAGGCUGAUAGUAUGGUGAGAAUAAGCAUCGGCUAACUUCGUGCCAGCAGCCGCGGUAAU